rnacentral:lncRNA from 1 species
AAAAAUGUUAAUACUAUCAUUAAUGAUGUUUUUUCUUUAAGUGUGAUGUUAAUGAAUGAAAAAAUUUGGAAUAUUUUUCUAUUCUGAUUGCUAUUGGGACAUAGUUUAUAUUUUAUGUGUGGUGUGUAUCAUCACGUAUUUUCACAGAGAAAUGUCUGUAUAUGUGGAAAAACCUGAGUAGGUCAUUGAAUUUUUCACAUCUUUAUGAGACGAGUUGAUGCAAACUAUGACAUGGCAUGGAUUGUUCAAAUAGAUUUUUUAUUAAAAGUUUUUCACUGAAUCAUACAGAACAUUAAAGUCUGAAGAUGUCAAUGGAACUAUUUAAUAAAUCUACAUCCCUUGCUUUAAAGAAAUUCUAGCUCAAGAAUAGAGAGUAAAAUGUUCAAGACUAAAUAUUAGAAAAAAAAAACAGAAAAAAAAACAAGAAAAAAUUUGGUCAACAGGCAUAAUAUAGCACAAAUAAGAAAUUUCUCUUUCUUCCACACUCCUCUCUUUAAGGAGCCCAAAUGUUUCCAGCCCCAGCUCUAUUCUUGGUGACAUGCUGUAAAGGCCCCCAUUUCCAAAGCCAAUUCAUGGUCCCUGUUCGCUGCUGAAAUUUCAGCAUUUAGUUAUUUGUUUUAAGUAGCAAGGAGAGGAGGUAAAAGGAUUCUUAUUAAGAGCAUUUUCUGGAAGUUGCACACCCUGCUCUCCUUAUAUCCAUCACUAGAAUUUAGACAUAUGGUCAAACCUAAAGGCAAGGAAACCAUGUGCCAAGCUAAAAAUUGUGAAGAAAGUGAGAAUAGUGAUUAGGGGAUAAUUAACAGCCUCUGCCACUCAGGAAGCUAGUUAAAGCAGAGCUUGAAAGUUAAUUCAGCUUCUUAGAAUUCCUGUGUAUCCUUUCUUUGUCACAUUUCCACUUAUUAUGUGAAUAUACACAGGUUCUGCACUAUGAAACUCUUCAAAGCUUACGUUGAAAUCUCCCCUCUCUCUCAAAGCUUUUCCUACCUACCAAAUGUCUCCAAAUGAUGAUUUAUGUCUCUCUGAAUUUCCAUGUUUUCAGUCUACACCACAAAGUCUCGAUGUUAUUGUAUUAUGGGUACUUCUGUUUGUAUGCAGACUUUUCCCAACUGCAUCCCUGGCUUCAGAAGGGCUGAGAGCAUCAUGUUACUACAGAUUAUUCAUGCCUGAGUGGAGUGUCAGCUGCAGAAAUAGGAGGUUUAAUGAGUUUCAUGGGGAUACCUCAUUCCAAGAACAAAACCUGGAAAAGGAAUAAAACACAAGUGUCUGCAUACUAAUAUGGGCCAUUGUUGGAGCUGAUCUCAGGAGCAUAAGAUGAUAGAUAGUCCCGACCAAUACACAUCUCCUUUAGAGAGGCCUUUAGUUCCAAUUUGGUUUUCUUUUUAUAAGUUAAUCUCCUACAGACACUGUGCUAACGCUGAAUAUAUAAACGACAAAUAUCCAAAGGGAGAGGUUACCACUACUCUACCCUGAAUACUGCAUUACUCUGCACCUGCUCAGGUUUUAUUUUAGACUGUUGCUUUGUUCUCCUGCUCUUUUCUUUCACUCUUUUUUUUUUUUUUUAAGAACCAUUGUUGUUUGAAAUAGAAAUGGAUGCCAUAAGAACAAACAUUUAGCUUAUUAGCAUUCUACACAGACAUUCUUUUUCUAUGAAAAAGAGCCUUAAUUUACUUUGGUAAAGAUAAUGCAUUAUAAAGUACCUUUUUUACAUAUUUAAUAUAUGCUAUGUCGUGCUAGUCUGUUGGGACAGCAAGCAAAGUUAAUUUAAAAGAGUGAAAUUUAAAGUUGAUCUAUGAAGUGCAUGAAACAUGGAGAACUAAGGCAAUUAUUUGUGCUUUUCAGAUUAAAAAUUCCAAUAUAAAUAAAUAAAAAACAAGUGAUUUGGAUCUGUAUAAUUUAGAUACAUUGUUUUGUGUGUGGUUGUGUGUAUUUUGUGUGUGUGUGUAUGUGUCUGUGUGCGUGCAGUAAAAUACAUGGAAUUACAAUUCGGUUUUAUAUUUCAUAGUAAAAUUCCAACAAAACACUUCCAAAGUACACUACAUUUCUUAAGCCAGGUGAAAUUUUUGAAGUUAUAUUAUCCAGUGGUAUUCAGGAUUUCAUUAACUCGUCUGCAACACAAGGGAAAAUACUGUUUUUUUUUAAUUUUAAACGUUGUUUUGAACUACAUUCAACACUUUGAGAUAGAUAGUCUCUAAAUUUCCUAAUUGCAUCAGAUUUCAAAGAGAAUGAACUUCAUUCAUUAAAUCGGAAUGAUGCUGAUUCCUCCACACAUAAAAGAGUACUCUGAUGUGGUGCUUGGGUAACAAUGAGGAAGGAGAUAGGCCAGAGAGACAAAUGGGAAUCUACAUUAAUUUAAUGACUAAUUCCUGUAGAGCACUUUAUGUGUUAUUUAUAUUAUUUUUGUGGUUGAUGUUAUCCCUUGUAAUCCAUCCCCUCGUCUCUUCCUUCCUCCCUUCUUUCCUUCCUUUGCAUUUUUUUUUUCUUUUUGGCAAAUGACUUGAGAGAAGUUAGCAGCUUGAUCAGUAUGCAUGUUUAGUAAGUGUCAGAGUCCGGAUUUGAACUUCAUGACUAUAAAAAUUAAUUUCCUAUCCAACAUACCGUGCAACAAGAAGUACAUGGGGAGUUUUGGCAGAGGGUGAUUAGACGUGCAAAUGUGUCCAAUAAAGCCACACAUUUGUUCUCCCUGUUCUUCAGUGUUCUAGAGGAGGAAUUAAUGUAUUGCUAACAGCAUGUAUCUAUGGAAUACAAUUUCUUGGAGAAUUUAAAGAUGUGAACUACUAGUACUAACGAGGCCAUAUAGUGCCUUAGAAUUUACAAAAAUAUUUUGUAUGAUUUACAUUACUUCUUGAGAGGUUUUGGGUUUUUUUGUUUGUUUGUUUGUUUGUUUUUUGGUCAUGGUUUCUAGUCAUGGUUUGCAUUUCCUCAGUCAACAAGCCAGUAAGGAAAGUAUUAUUAAACAGUUUUGAUAGAGGGACGCCUGGGUGGCUCAGUUGGUUGGACGACUGCCUUCGGCUCAGGUCAUGAUCCUGGAGUCCUGGGAUCGAGUCCCACAUCAGGCUCCCAGCUCCACGGGAAGUCUGCUUCUCUCUCUGACUGUCUCCUCACUCAUGUUCUCUCUCACUGUCUCUUUCUCAAAAAAAAAAAAAAAAAGUUUUAAUAGAUUAAAACACUGAGGUUCAAACUGAGCCAUUCAUAGAUUUAUCAGAACUCAAAGGUCUCCAAAUGUCUAGUCCCCUAAACUCCUAUUCUUCCACUAUCCCAAGGGACUAUUAAAUACAUCAGAGAUGGAAGACAGAGAGUCAAGAGCCCAACAAUGAUUUCAUGUUAAGAAAAUGAGACAGUGGGGUGCCUGGGUGGCUCAGUCAGUUAAGUAAUCCCACUUCAACUCAGGUCACGAUUUCAGGGUCCUGGGCUUGAGCUCCAUGUUGGGCUCCCUCUUUGGCGGGAAGUCUGCUUCUUCCUCUACUCCUCCUCCCCACUCAUGCUCUCUUUCUUAAAUAAAUAAAGUCCUUUAAAAAAGGAAAAUAAGACAAUUAUUGCAAUUAUUCAUACUUUCCAAAUUCCUUUUUUUUUUUAAGAGUCACUCAAGUAUUUGGAUUCUAAAGCAUCCAAAUAAUUCUCUCAAGCUUUCUUUUCACUUCACCGAAUUAAUUAAAUGAAAAAAAAUACUUCUCCAUCAAAAAUUUUAAAUUAGGUAAGUAAAUAUUAAAGAAAUACUCUUUAAAAUUUCUUG